rnacentral:rRNA from 1 species
GACAGAGGGGGCAAGCGUUGCUCGGAAUUACUGGGCGUAAAGGGCGCGUAGGCGGCGCGACAAGUCACUUGUGAAAUCUCUGAGCUUAACUCAGAACGGCCAAGUGAAACUGUUGUGCUAGAGUGCAGAAGGGGCAAUCGGAAUUCUUGGUGUAGCGGUGAAAUGCGUAGAUAUCAAGAGGAACACCUGAGGUGAAGACGGGUUGCUGGGCUGACACUGACGCUGAAGCGCGAAAGCCAGGGGAGCAAACGGG